rnacentral:piRNA from 1 species
UGUUCAGUUCAAAUCAAAACAAAGGAAAAAC